rnacentral:rRNA from 1 species
AACGCUGGCGGCGUGGAUUAGGCAUGCAAGUCGAACGGUAGGAUACCUUCGGGUAUCUGAGAGUGGCGAACGGGUGAGUAACACGUAGGUGAUCUACCCUCAAGAUUGGGACAACCCAGGGAAACUUGGGCUAAUACCGGAUGAAAGCAGCAGUGAUGUUGUUUGAAAGGUGGCGUAAGCUGCCGUUUGGGGAUGAGCCUGCGCUCUAUUAGUUAGUUGGCGGGGUAAAGGCCCACCAAGGCGAUGAUAGAUAGGCGGCCUUAACGGGUGGUCGCCCACACUGGGAUUGAGAUACGGCCCAGACUCCUACGGGAGGCAGCAGUCGAGAAUAGUCUACAAUGGUCGGAAGACUGAUAGUGCGACGCCGCGUGAACGAUGAAUCCCUUCGGGGUGUAAAGUUCUUUUAUAUGUGAGCAGUGCUUCUUAUAUUAACAGUAUGGGGAGAGAGAUAUUAGCAUAUGAAUAAGCAACGGCUAACUCCGUG